rnacentral:rRNA from 1 species
CCGUGGUAUGACUAGCUACUGAAUCAAAGAGUUAAAUUUAUAACUCAUGAUGUCGUAAGGGAAAAUAAUGAUAAUACCUUACUAUUAGUGUCGUCCAAAUCUGGUGCCAGAAGACUCGGUAAGACCAGAGACGCAAACGUUAAUCAUCAUAAUCAGGCGUAAAGGGUUUGUAGGCAGCCUCCAUCCCCGUCACCCGUCCAGCCCAUCCCCUCCCCCGCCUUUAGCAGGGGGCUCGGAGAAGGGUGGGGGCGGAGGGGCGGGAGCCGGAGAGCUAGAAUCAAAAAGAGGUUAUAGUGUAUAACGCCUAGAGGAGGGCUGAUAUCCAUAGAUUCUAGGCAGAAUACUCAGGGCGAAGGCCACUCUCCACUAAUGAUUGACGCUGAGAAACGAAGGUUAGGAUAGGAAAUAGGAUUAGAUACCCCGGUACUCCUUUCUGUAAACGAUGAAUGGUAGUCAUUAGUUUUUAACUAGAGACGAAGUUAACACAAUAACCAUUCCGCCUUGUGAGUACUACUGCAAAGUAGAAAACAAAAAAAUUAGUCGGUCUCGAAGCAAACGGAGUGAAGCAUGUUAUUUAAUUCGAUAAAUCCGCA